AUUGAACGCUGGCGGCAGGCCUAACACAUGCAAGUCGAGCGAGCGGCGGACGGGUGAGUAAUGUCUGGGAAACUGCCUGUUGUCGGGGGGUAACUCCUGGAAACCGUAGCUAAUCACGCAUACCCUCAGAUGUGCCCAUAUGGGAUUAGCUUGUAGGUUGGGUAAUGGCUCACCUAGGCGACGAUCCCUAGCCGGUCUGAGAGGAUGACCAGCCACACUGGAACUUGGACACGGGCCAGACUCCUACGGGAGGCAGCAGUGGGGAACAUUGGACAAUGGGGGAGAGCCUGAUGCAGCCAUGCCGCGUGUGUGAAGAAGGCCUUCGGGGUGUAAAGAACUUUCAGCGGGGAGGCGUUACCCGCAGAAGAAGCACCGGCUAACUCCGUGCCAGCCGCCGCGGUAAUUC
rnacentral:rRNA from 1 species